UUUCCGUAGGUGAACCUGCGGAAGGAUCAUUAUUGAAUAAACUUGGUUAGGUUGUUGCUGGCUCUUAGGAGCAUGUGCACGCCGACUCCAUUUUUAACCACCUGUGCACCUUGCGUAGAUCUGAUACUCUCGAGGCAACUCGGUUUGAGAAUUGCUGUGCAAUAAAAGGCCAGCUCUUCUUGUAUUCAGGUCUAUGUUUCUACAUACCCCACAUGAAUGUAUUUUGAAUGUCGUCAUUGGCCUUGUGCCUCUAAAAACAAAUACAACUUUCAACAACGGAUCUCUUGGCUCUC
rnacentral:misc_RNA from 1 species